rnacentral:lncRNA from 1 species
GUUGAUUCAGAUAUGCUUGAUGAAGAUGAUCAUGAAGUGUUGGAUACGCCAUAGAUUUCAUGAUGUGUUAGAUACGCCAUAAGUUUCAUGAUUUUUUUAAGGAGUUUAUUUUUAACUUUUUUAUGGUUGGAAUAUUGUCACAUUUUUUGUGUUUUAAUGUGACAAAACAAUUAUGUUAAUAUUUCUAUUUAGAUAUUUAUACUUUUAUUUGAA